GCUGGGCAUGGUGGCGCAUGCCUGUAAUCCCAGCUACUCAGGAAGCUGAGGCAGGAGAAUCACUUGAACCCAGGAGGCUGAGGUUGUAGUGAGCCGAGAUUGCGCCAUUGCACUCCAGCCUGGGUAACAAGAGCGAAACUCUGUCUCAA
ensembl:misc_RNA Metazoa_SRP Metazoan signal recognition particle RNA